AGGUUAAUACRUGAACGUAAAACCUGGUUGACUGGGSUUCGGUYUKGGAGGNUGGGGGAGGUGUGAUUGCAGGCUUGGGUAACACCGGGAAAGGGCACACGUCCAGACCGCGCUAUAAARGAUGGGACCCCUUCGGGGGACCCGCCCCAUCGGCUCUUGCUGUGUGCUUUUGACCUAUCAACUAGACGGCAGCGUAAGGGACAUGCUAUGGUG
rnacentral:rRNA from 1 species